GUGGGGAAUUUUGGACAAUGGGCGCAAGCCUGAUCCAGCCAUGCCGCGUGAGUGAAGAAGGCCUUCGGGUUGUAAAGCUCUUUCGGCCGGGAAGAAAUCGGCGACUCUAACAUAGUCGCUGGAUGACGGUACCGGACUAAGAAGCACCGGCUAACUACGUGCCAGCAGCCGCGGUAAUACGUAGGGUGCGAGCGUUAAUCGGAAUUACUGGGCGUAAAGCGUGCGCAGGCGGUUUUGUAAGACAGAUGUGAAAUCCCCGGGCUUAACCUGGGAACUGCGUUUGUGACUGCAAGGCUAGAGUACGGCAGAGGGGGGUGGAAUUCCUGGUGUAGCAGUGAAAUGCGUAGAUAUCAGGAGGAACACCGAUGGCGAAGGCAAUCCCCUGGGCCUGCACUGACGCUCAUGCACGAAAGCGUGGGGAGCAAACAGGAUUAGAUACCCUUGUAGUCC
rnacentral:rRNA from 1 species